rnacentral:rRNA from 1 species
UACGAAGGGGGCUAGCGUUGUUCGGAAUUACUGGGCGUAAAGCGUGCGCAGGCGGCUUCUCAAGUCAGGGGUGAAAGCCCGGAGCCUCAACUCCGGAACUGCCAUUGAAACUGCAGAACUUGAGGAUGAGAGAGGUGAGUGGAAUUCCCAGUGUAGAGGUGAAAUUCGUAGAUAUUGGGAAGAACACCGGUGGCGAAGGCGGCUCACUGGCUCAUUUCUGACGCUCGGCGCGACAGCGUGGGGAUCAAACAGG